CAGCAGCCGCGGUAAAACGGAGGGAGCUAGCGUUAUUCGGAAUUACUGGGCGUAAAGCGCACGUAGGCGGCUUUGUAAGUUAGAGGUGAAAGCCUGGAGCUCGACUCCAGAAUUGCCUUUAAGACUGCAUCGCUUGAAUCCAGGAGAGGUGAGUGGAAUUCCGAGUGUAGAGGUGAAAUUCGUAGAUAUUCGGAAGAACACCAGUGGCGAAGGCGACUGACUGGACAAGUAUUGACGCUGAGGUGCGAAAGCGUGGGGAGCAAACAGGAUUAGAUACCCCUGUAGUCCCUGUCUCUUAUAC
rnacentral:rRNA from 1 species